GUUAGGAAAGGUUAGAAUUAAGGAUCCCGGUCCAAUGCACAGGCCAUCACAGCUCUCCACCAGGGCCUAAGGCCUACCUCUCAUUGAGGCCUUGGGGGUGAAGCGUGCCGAGUCUGGCGAUCCAAAUACGUUCGGCUCGCCGUCUUUGAGCCACACUCCAUUUUGGGUCCGCCUCCAGGACUGAGGCCCGGACAGCGUCCCAUCCGUGGAGGAGGAAGUGUCCCACCACUAAGGUCUGGUGCUUGAAAAAUUGCCCGUGACCCCUGGGUGCAGAGGUCAACAAAGGCGAGAGUUUUGCUUUAACAAGGCUAUCGAUGUCCAGUGUGAACAACAUGGCGUCCUGGGGAAUGUGAAGUGUCCUGAUUGUUUC